GGCGACGAGGCGGAAAGAAAAAGAUAGAGCAGACGGAGAGAGAGAGAGAGGGAGCAGCGAACGGAGAGAGAGGCAGACGAGCGGCAGGAGUCUCCGGCGGCGGCGAUCUCUGUCGCUGACAUCGAUGAUGAGGAUGAUGAUGAGGGUUUCGACGGCGGACAGAGUUACGAGCUGUGGAUCGAGUCGUUCUCCCUGCCACGGUGCACUCCAACAGUGGGGUUCCGAUAAUGACUUUUGAGGGUAAUGAUUCUGUGGUAGAUGAUGAAAGAUGAUGCGGUUGAUGUUCGGUUCGUUCAGCUUCAGUUCGGGUGCACAUCAGCAUGUUCGGGUCACGGUUCAGGUCAACUUGAUCAGAUUCCUUUCCGUUCGACCCGGUUCACUCGCUCAAGACUUGGUUCGGUUCAGGUUCG
rnacentral:lncRNA from 1 species